AUGAGGGCGAGCAGAUACCAGGGAGAUCGAGCGGUAGCACAGAAGAGCUUGCUCUCGGGUGACGAGCGGCGGACGGGUGAGUAAUGUCUGGGAAACUGCCUGAUGGAGGGGGAUAACUACUGGAAACGGUAGCUAAUACCGCAUAACGUCGCAAGACCAAAGUGGGGGACCUUCGGGCCUCAUGCCAUCAGAUGUGCCCAGAUGGGAUUAGCUAGUAGGUGGGGUAAUGGCUCACCUAGGCGACGAUCCCUAGCUGGUCUGAGAGGAUGACCAGCCACACUGGAACUGAGACACGGUCCAGACUCCUACGGGAGGCAGCAGUGGGGAAUAUUGCACAAUGGGCGCAAGCCUGAUGCAGCCAUGCCGCGUGUAUGAAGAAGGCCUUCGGGUUGUAAAGUACUUUCAGCGAGGAGGAAGGCGUUAAGGUUAAUAACCUUGGUGAUUGACGUUACUCGCAGAAGAAGCACCGGCUAACUCCGUGCCAGCAGCCGCGGUAAUACGGAGGGUGCAAGCGUUAAUCGGAAUUACUGGGCGUAAAGCGCACGCAGGCGGUCUGUCAAGUCGGAUGUGAAAUCCCCGGGCUCAACCUGGGAACUGCAUUCGAAACUGGCAGGCUAGAGUCUUGUAGAGGGGGGUAGAAUUCCAGGUGUAGCGGUGAAAUGCGUAGAGAUCUGGAGGAAUACCGGUGGCGAAGGCGGCCCCCUGGACAAAGACUGACGCUCAGGUGCGAAAGCGUGGGGAGCAAACAGGAUUAGAUACCCUGGUAGUCCACGCCGUAAACGAUGUCGACUUGGAGGUUGUGCCCUUGAGGCGUGGCUUCCGGAGCUAACGCGUUAAGUCGACCGCCUGGGGAGUACGGCCGCAAGGUUAAAACUCAAAUGAAUUGACGGGGGCCCGCACAAGCGGUGGAGCAUGUGGUUUAAUUCGAUGCAACGCGAAGAACCUUACCUACUCUUGACAUCCAGAGAACUUAGCAGAGAUGCUUUGGUGCCUUCGGGAACUCUGAGACAGGUGCUGCAUGGCUGUCGUCAGCUCGUGUUGUGAAAUGUUGGGUUAAGUCCCGCAACGAGCGCAACCCUUAUCCUUUGUUGCCAGCGGUUAGGCCGGGAACUCAAAGGAGACUGCCAGUGAUAAACUGGAGGAAGGUGGGGAUGACGUCAAGUCAUCAUGGCCCUUACGAGUAGGGCUACACACGUGCUACAAUGGCAUAUACAAAGAGAAGCGACCUCGCGAGAGCAAGCGGACCUCAUAAAGUAUGUCGUAGUCCGGAUUGGAGUCUGCAACUCGACUCCAUGAAGUCGGAAUCGCUAGUAAUCGUAGAUCAGAAUGCUACGGUGAAUACGUUCCCGGGCCUUGUACACACCGCCCGUCACACCAUGGGAGUGGGUUGCAAAAGAAGUAGGUAGCUUAACCUUCGGGAGGGCGCUUACUCACUUCCGUUUCCG
rnacentral:rRNA from 1 species